UACGUAGGUGACAAGCGUUGUCCGGAUUUACUGGGCGUAAAGAGCGCGUAGGCGGAAGCUUAAGUGUGGCCUGAAAGCCCCCGGCUCAACCGGGGAGGGUGGCUGCAAACUGGGCUUCUUGAGGGCGAUAGAGGAGAGUGGAAUUCCUGGUGUAGCGGUGAAAUGCGUAGAUAUCAGGAGGAACACCCGUGGCGAAGGCGGCUCUCUGGGUCGGACCUGACGCUGAGGCGCGAAAGCGUGGGGAGCGAACGGG
rnacentral:rRNA from 1 species